AUCGCUGCUCUGAAAACUCCGCAGCCCUGAGCUGUGGUAAAGCCAGCAGGGAGGACAGAUGCACAACCUGAUGCUGGAUCAGCACUAGGAAACUGUGAAGCCAUCUCACUGUGAAGGUUUCCUGGCAGAGGGUCUGUGUGGAGAAACAGAACAACGAGCUAAACCUCAGAUCAAAGAGCAAGUGACUCCUACCAGAGGCUGGACAACGUCCUGAGCAACCAACUAUUCUCAACCCUGCUUUGAGCAGUAGAAGAUGUCCAGAGGUCCCUUCUGACCACUGUUCUGCGAGUCUGUAAAAUGACAUCUACC